UAAUUAUUAUGUUACUGGCUAAUGUUAUUAGCUGUUAUUUUACAGCUACAAAGUGAGCCAGCUGCCCAAGUGUGUCUGUAAUGUAGAGCCCCUGGCUGGAGCUGACAGUGGUUGUGUUGUAGCAGGUAGAGCCACUGAACAGUUUGUCAAACUGUUUUUCCUGCUGAAAUCCUCUUCAGCUCUACUUGUCCAGGCCCAGGCAAGGAAUUGCUUAAACAUCUAUAAAAGUUCCUUGUUUUCUUCUUGAAUUGGAUCCUGGAGUUGUACUAAUUCUGACGAGGCCUUGGCAUCUACAGGGACCUCAAGGCGGAAAGUGCGGUUUCUGGGGAAAGGAGCUUGCUGGUGGAGUAAGUUUGAAAAGAUCGUAGCAGUUCCAGUAAUUACUCAUUUCAUCAAGCCAUCUAUAUUUAAAGGGGAAAAUAAAAAAAAAAAACCACGCUCCUCCAGUGUUGUUUCCUGCAAAGACCAUUCUUAAGAGCUCGUUGGACAGCGCAGGACUCUUGAAGUGAUAGCUAAUUGGUGAAAGAAAGGCCCUGAUUGUCUUGAGGGAGCUGGAAAGUGCUGCGUGUGCUGCUGAAAGGGACUAGGGAGAAGGUGCCUGGUUUCG
rnacentral:lncRNA from 1 species